rnacentral:rRNA from 1 species
GACAGAGGGUGCAACCGUUGUUCGGAAUUACUGGGCGUAAAGCGCGUGUAGGCGGCAUGGCAAGUCGGGUGUGAAAGCCCUGGGCUCAACCUAGGAAGUGCACUCGAAACUGCCACGCUGGAGUCUUGGAGAGGAAGGCGGAAUUCUCGGUGUAGAGGUGAAAUUCGUAGAUAUCGGGAGGAACACCGGUGGCGAAGGCGGCCUUCUGGACAAUGACUGACGCUGAGACGCGAAAGCGUGGGGAGCAAACAGG